UCCGGUUUGUCACCGGCAGUCUCCUUAGAGUUCCCUAUAUUUCAAGCCCUGGUAAGGUUCUUCGCGUUGCGUCGAAUUAAGCCACAUGCUCCGCCGCUUGUGCGGGCCCCCGUCAAUUCCUUUGAGUUUUAACCUUGCGGUCGUAAUCCCCAGGCGGGGUGCUUAAUGCGUUAGCUGCGGCACGGAGGGAGUGGAUAACCCCCCACACCUAGCACCCAUCGUUUACGGCGUGGACUAC
rnacentral:misc_RNA from 1 species